rnacentral:tRNA from 2 species
AUAUAAAUAUGAUUAUUUUUCUAGAA